GCCGGGCAUGGUGGUGCACACCUGUAAUCCUAGUGGCAGGGGAGGCAGAGACAGGAGGAUCACCAAGUUCAAAGCCAGGCUCUGAAAAAAUGAGGUGCUAAGUAACUCAGUGAGACCCUGUCUCUA
rnacentral:sRNA from 1 species